GUGUGCGUAAUGAUGAUGACAGGUGUGUGUAAUGAUGAUGACAGGUGUGUGUAAUGAUGGUGACAGGUGUGCGUAAUGAUGGUGACAGGUGUGCGUAAUGAUGAUGACAGGUGUGUGUAAUGAUGGUGACAGGUGUGUGUAAUGAUGGUGACAGGUGUGCGUAAUGAUGGUGACAGGUGUGCGUAAUGAUGGUGACAGGUGUGCGUAAUGAUGGUGACAGGUGUGUGUAAUGAUGGUGACAGGUGUGUGUAAUGAUGGUGACAGGUGUGUGUAAUGAUGGUGACAGGUGUGUGUAAUGAUGGUGACAGGUGUGCGUAAUGAUGGUGACAGGUGUGUGUAAUGAUGGUGACAGGUGUGUGUAAUGAUGGUGACAGGUGUGUGUAAUGAUGGUGACAGGUGUGUGUAAUGAUGGUGACAGGUGUGUGUAAUGAUGGUGACAGGUGUGUGUAAUGAUGGUGACAGGUGUGUGUAAUGAUGGUGACAGGUGUGUGUAAUGAUGAUGACAGGUG